rnacentral:rRNA from 1 species
GGGCCCAAACGGCGCGGAUGCAUCUAGAUGCGCGGCCUAUCAGCUUGUUGGUGAGGUAAUGGCUCACCAAGGCGACGACGGGUAGCCGGCCUGAGAGGGUGACCGGCCACACUGGGACUGAGACACGGCCCAGACUCCUACGGGAGGCAGCAGUGGGGAAUAUUGCACAAUGGGCGAAAGCCUGAUGCAGCGACGCCGCGUGAGGGAUGACGGCCUUCGGGUUGUAAACCUCUUUCAGUAGGGAAGAAGCGAAAGUGACGGUACCUGCAGAAGAAGCGCCGGCUAACUACGUGCCAGCAGCCGCGGUAAUACGUAGGGCGCAAGCGUUAUCCGGAAUUAUUGGGCGUAAAGAGCUCGUAGGCGGUUUGUCGCGUCUGCCGUGAAAGUCCGGGGCUCAACUCCGGAUCUGCGGUGGGUACGGGCAGACUAGAGUGAUGUAGGGGAGACUGGAAUUCCUGGUGUAGCGGUGAAAUGCGCAGAUAUCAGGAGGAACACCGAUGGCGAAGGCAGGUCUCUGGGCAUUAACUGACGCUGAGGAGCGAAAGCAUGGGGAGCGAACAGGAUUAGAUACCCUGGUAGUCCAUGCCGUAAACGUUGGGCACUAGGUGUGGGGGACAUUCCACGUUUUCCGCGCCGUAGCUAACGCAUUAAGUGCCCCGCCUUCCCUGUUCCAACCUUGCCCGUUACGGGUACCUGGCCG